CACGUGAGGAGGAAUCUGAAGAAUGCCUGAGGCAAAAUCCGUUCCGAGGCAUACGAAUCACAUACAAAGUGUAUAAGUUGGGCGGGUUUGCAAAACAAAAUGAGGCCCGAUGCUAUCAAGAACUUAUGUAGUGGGUGUGGUGGAUAUACGAGAUGAAGGCUG
rnacentral:ncRNA from 1 species